rnacentral:rRNA from 1 species
AGCGAACGCUGGCGGCAGGCCUAACACAUGCAAGUCGAACGAACUCUUCGGAGUUAGUGGCGGACGGGUGAGUAACACGUGGGAACGUGCCUUUAGGUUCGGAAUAACUCAGGGAAACUUGUGCUAAUACCGAAUGUGCCCUUCGGGGGAAAGAUUUAUCGCCUUUAGAGCGGCCCGCGUCUGAUUAGCUAGUUGGGGGUGUAAUGGACCCCCAAGGCGACGACCAGUAGCUGGUCUGAGAGGAUGACCAGCCACAUUGGGACUGAGACACGGCCCAAACUCCUACGGGAGGCAGCAGUGGGGAAUCUUGCGCAAUGGGCGAAAGCCUGACGCAGCCAUGCCGCGUGGAUGAUGAAGGUCUUAGGAUUGUAAAAUCCUUUCACCGGUGAAGGUAAUGACUGUAGCCGGAGAAGAAGCCCCGGCUAACUUCGUGCCAGCCGCCGCCGUAAAAC